GAUGGACGCUGGCGGCGUGCCUAAUACAUGCAAGUCGAGCGAACGGACGAGAAGCUUGCUUCUCUGAUGUUAGCGGCGGACGGGUGAGUAACACGUGGAUAACCUACCUAUAAGACUGGGAUAACUUCGGGAAACCGGAGCUAAUACCGGAUAAUAUUUUGAACCGCAUGGUUCAAAAGUGAAAGACAGUCUUGCUGUCACUUAUAGAUGGAUCCGCGCUGCAUUAGCUAGUUGGUAAGGUAACGGCUUACCAAGGCAACGAUGCAUAGCCGACCUGAGAGGGUGAUCGGCCACACUGGAACUGAGACACGGUCCAGACUCCUACGGGAGGCAGCAGUAGGGAAUCUUCCGCAAUGGGCGAAAGCCUGACGGAGCAACGCCGCGUGAGUGAUGAAGGUCUUCGGAUCGUAAAACUCUGUUAUUAGGGAAGAACAUAUGUGUAAGUAACUGUGCACAUCUUGACGGUACCUAAUCAGAAAGCCACGGCUAACUACGUG
rnacentral:rRNA from 1 species